rnacentral:lncRNA from 1 species
UAUUUGGUGGUGUAAGUUUAUCAUCUGAUUAACUCUCUCUAAAUAAAUCUUAUUGAUUUUUUUAAUAACUUAUUUAUUUUAAUUUAUUUUCAUUAAUGUCGUGACCGAUGGAUGACGACCUAGAAAAUACCGUAUGAUAAUUUUUUCUUACUCAUCAUUUUCUUACUUUUUAUCUUAUCUUUUUACCAGCUUAUUUACUACUAAAUGUUUCUUUGCCUAUAGGUUCGAAGACUUUGUCAUAAUAAUGUAGGAGUGGUAAUUCGCAAUGAGUAUGAACUAAAUUGUCUCCGUUUACGUGAGGUAGUGUAUCCUCAUUCAUUUUUUCUUUUUUCUUUUUUUUUUGCUUUUAAGUAGCGUUUUCUUACACAGAAGGAGAAAAAAGGGUCUGAUGCUUUGGCGAAUGUCAAAUCUAAGGAGAAAGAAAAAUCAACCUCUUCUAGUCAAGGAACAAAAUAUAAAGACUGCCAACUGGUAUCACUUUUAAUCCUAUUCUUUUAUCUCUGUUUUUACAAAGGUUUUGGAUGUUAUUGAAUUUAAAAAAAUUUAAGUAUCGUUUUAUGUACAACGUUUGAUUUGUCAACAUGUUUUUUGUUUGUCUCGAUUAAUAUUACUUAUUUUAUUUUAUUUUUUAUCGUGUUCUUGCACAGAAGGAUAAACAAAGGUUUGAUGCUUUGGCGAAUGCCAAAUUUAAGGGGAAACAAAAAUCAACCUCUUUUACCCAAGGAACAAAAAAUAAAGAUUGUCAACUGGUAUCACUUUUAAUCAUAUUCUUUUCGCUCUGUUUUUACAAUGGAUUUAGAUGUUAUUGAAUUUUAAAAAAUUUAAGUUUCGUUUUAUGUAGAACGUUUGAUUUGUCAACAUGUUUUUUGUUUGUCUCAUUUAAUAUUACUUUUUUUUAUCGUGUUCUUACAUAGAAGAAGAAAAAAGUUUUGAUACUUUGGCAAAUGCCAAAUUUAAGGGGAAACAGAAAUCAACCUCUUUUAGCCAAGGAACAACAAAUAAAGAUUGCCAACUG